CAGCAGCCACGGUAAUACGUAUGUCACAAGCGUUAUCCGGAUUUAUUGGGCGUAAAGCGCGUCUAGGUGGUUAUGUAAGUCUGAUGUGAAAAUGCAGGGCUCAACUCUGUAUUGCGUUGGAAACUGUGUAACUAGAGUACUGGAGAGGUAAGCGGAACUACAAGUGUAGAGGUGAAAUUCGUAGACAUUUGUAGGAAUGCCGAUGGGGAAGCCAGCUUACUGGACAGAUACUGACGCUGAAGCGCGAAAGCGUGGGUAGCAAACAGGAUUAGAUACCCCUGUAGUCCCGGUCUCUUAUACA
rnacentral:rRNA from 1 species